AUGUGUCUUCAGUGGCAGGGCCGGAAGUGGGAGGCACGGGAUUGUGAAUACAAUGGCGGGAAAAAGCUCACUAUUGGAUGGAAACAGUUUGUAGAGGACAACAAGCUGAAGAUGGGUGAUAUCUGCCUCUUUAAACUGUUGAGCAAUGAGAGAACCAUGAAGGUCUAUAUCAUCAGUGAAAACGUUGCCAAUUAUCGGGCAGGUCUCCAGAAUGACGCUGACCGGGAAGCGGUGUUCCGGAGAGGGGCUCAUCAUGUGGAAGGAGCGUGUGAUCCUGACUCAAGGUUCCUUCGCAUAACUAAAACUGAAGCUAUGGAAGAUGAUGUUGUUUUUAAAACUGAAGACGGUGCCUGA
rnacentral:rRNA from 1 species